rnacentral:lncRNA from 1 species
AGAACUCCUGUAUGCCGGACAGCCGGUAAGGUCUACUGGGCGGCCGCUUUCUCUGGUCUUUCUCUGCUCCGUAGACAUUUCUGUGUCAGGUGCCUCGCAUAUUCGCACCCACGCGCCAGGGCAUUAAGCCGAACCUUGCUUGGUGGCUCUCAGCCUUGAAAGGCCGCAGGAUGUCCGCGUCCACAGCUGUGAACCGGUGAGUGCAGGUGGACGGGCGCACGCGGGCGCCAGGGUAAUUAACAGGGCUUCAGAGGGCGUGACGGUGACCGUACGUUGUCGGCGAACUCUCUUUUCAUCCUUUACAUUUCCACGGAGAUUUGGCCAAUAAAUAACAAGAAUAAAAUGUA